GCGGUACCGGUUCCCGCCCGCGAGGGCGACCCGGCGACU
rnacentral:ncRNA from 1 species